UUAAACUUUUUUUAGACUGGGCUUCACCCUCCCCCUUCUAAAAGUCUAGAUGUCCUCAUCUGACUCUGUAUCUUAUACGUAGGUUGGAUUGGUGUUUUCUCGCCUUGCUUGACAGGUUCUUGGAAGGUUUAGGGUUUUUGACUGAUGUACUAACAUCUCUGUCCUGGGAACUAAGGUUCAACUGAAUAACCAUUCCUUGAUGCACAAUGGUCACAGGUUCCUCAGUAGGAUGUUUCACUGUGAUGUUGGGGGUUGUGUGAGCUCCUCGCUCUACAUCAGUGUCUUCAGCAGUAUCAUUGGUUUGCACCUCCUCAUUUUCUGACUGAUGAGAGGCAGCAUCAUCGGGUGAUUCCUCACUCUGUAGUGCCAACUCUACCAAAACAGAUGUCAACAGGUAGCCUUGCCUCUCUCCCGGACAUUAAGAAAUAUGGAGAGUAUCCUGUAGCGUCUCUAGAUACUCCUGGUUCAACACUGCAGAUAGGACAUUCAUGCUAGCAUCUACAUGUAAAAUGUAGGACUUAGUGGGGUCAGCGAAGGCUAAGACUGGGGCAUGUAUAAGACAGUCGAUGAUCUUUCUGAAAACCUCUCGAUAAGCCUGAUCCCAACUUUGAAGUAUGUCUUGUUUGGGUCUUUUGCUUGCUUCCCUCUCUGAGCUGGUGAGUAGCCUUUUGUGAGCUCAGUUAGUGGGCAUUGGUGGAGUAGUUUGAAAUGAAUCUUCGAUAAUAUCCACAGAAGCCAAGAAAUUACAUCAGGGACUUGAGAUCUGUUGGCUCUUGCCAGUUUUUUACCACUUCCACUUUUUCUGGGUUGGUGGCAAUACCUGACUGUGAGACUUUGUGGCCUACAUACUUGACUCUGGGCUGACACUGGCGCUUGAGUAAUGCCCUGUGGCAUUCUCUCAAAUUGACAGAAUCUGAGAGGGCAGAUGAAUGCAGUCUUCUCUUUGCCCUCUUCAGCCAUGGCUAUCUGGUAAUAGCCGCUCCAAAGGUCAAGUACCAAGAACCACUUGCUGCCUGAGAGAAAGUCUAGGGCAUCAUUGAUACGAGGCAUUGUGUACUGGUCUGAUAUAGUGGGACUGUCGAUGCAGAUUCUGAUGGUUCCGUCCUUUUUAUGCACCACCACAAUUGGUGAGGCAUAAGGGCUUCGGAACUCUUUCAACACUCCAGCUGCUAGUAGCUGCUGUAAGUGUUGUCACACAUCGUCAAUGUCAGCUGGUGCCAAGCGACAUGAUCUUUUCCUAAACGGGGUGGGGUUGCUUAGGCAUAUUUGGUGCUCUUGACCCUUGGCCAAGCCAACAUCCCACUUAUGCAAGGAAAAUACAUUUCAUCUCUGAGCUAGCUUCAGGUGAAGCCGAUUCUUCCAAUCCUCUGGGAUAGGGGAUUCACCGAAAUCAAAAAGAUCUGGUUCUAUAACAUCUGCUGAGAGGUCAGAUGGCUGGACUGAGGUCACUGUAUCUAGCAUACAUCUCUGCAUAUCUAUCCCAACUUGAAUGGAGGUGGGCUUUUGGGACUCAUGAAUGAGCACUGUGAAAUGGUUUGUGUCUAUUUCAGCAUUCGGAAGCACACCUGGCUGUACAAGCACGCCAGCUGGGAGUGCCGAUGCAGACAGUGCAUCAAUCAGCACAAUGUCUUUUGAUGUAGUGGUCAGUCUGUCUACUUUGCAGAUGGCGUAAUACCUUUCGCCUGGGGCUGUUGAGAGUGGACCAGGUCCUUGCCAUUUCACCUGUCCAAUGACAUCAUCCACUGCCUUUGACUGAGGAAGGGGCUUGGUGGCAAUGUUGUGGCUCAGGACAGAUGAGGGCAAGAACGACAACAGAUCCUUUAACUCCAUGGCAAUAGAUGAUGGACCCACAAGCCCUUCAGUGAGUUUGUGUCCAUGUGUUUGCUCUUUUGCAGAUGUCUUAUAAUUUGAUUUGCUCACUCAGACCAUGUCACUGAGGGAGAUGCUGCAGGAUCGGUUUCCUUGGUAACAGCUCACAGGAUACAGAUGGGAUGCUGGAACAGAAAGAAUGAAGAAUGUGGUCACAUGCUCUCAGGGCUCUGAAGACACUGAACGAGAAUAUUUGCACGUUCCCUGUCUGUUAGUUCCUUUUUUUCUCUCUUUUCUUUUGAGGUAAGACUGAAUCAUUGAAAUUCCACGAAAAACUGUAUUGCACAGAAAAAGAAUCACCCACAAGAAGAAGGAACCUGAGGUUUCUGAUAAAGGUCCGGAUUUGGUAUCAUUGUUACAACAGAUUUCCUGUCACUUCAGAAACACCCAUAUCUUUUGAUGAAUCAAAUUAAUUAGUGUUGAUUUAAGUCUGAUACAGACCUUAGGAAAUGGUGUGGUGUUAUCUUGGUUAAGCAAAAAAAACAAACUUGUGAUGUAAGGCCACAUGUCCAUAAGUACACUUAGCGGUUCUGAGGUAUUCUAACAUAUAUGUUGUAAUAAGUUAAUAUCACAUGUUUUCAGGUUCAGUCAUAGUUGUGAACUGAAGCGUGAACUCUGAACAUCUCUUGGCAACACUUCCUGUUUACAUCACCGUGACAUCUCUUC